rnacentral:lncRNA from 1 species
AGAAAGAGCGCGAAUAUUCCUGCCCUGCUGAAGAAGACGGAGACUCUUUUCCUCUCAGCGCCAAAUCAGUGUGUUUAGUUAUUAAAUGAUGUCUUCAGCACACACUGCUGUCAAGACUGAGUUUAUAAAAGAGGAGAGUGAAGAAGUGCGGAUUCCUGAGCCGUGUGGAGAUGAAGAAGAAGAAGCCUCAACCCUGAAGAAGGAAGAGCCGGAGGAACACACAGACCAGAUCAAGAUGAAGGACGAAACUCAGGUCAAAGAUGAGCAAAGUGAGAUCGGGGUGAAGGAGCAAGCUAAAGAACAGAAUGAGGACGAGGACUACGAGCAGCCUCAGUAUUUAAGCUGCUCGAGAAUCGGCACCAGCUUUACUCAGAAAAGAGCUCGACGAGGAAAAGGCUUUUUCUUCUCCUGCCUCGAGUGCCAGAUGAGCUUCGAGUCUAAGGAGCACCUGAUGGAGCACUUCAGGGUCCACACUGGAGAAAGCUCCACGCAAAAACAGCCGAUGUUCUGCCAUCAGUGCUUCAGGAAGUUCUCCUGUAGGAAACAUCUGCUGGAGCACUACAGAAUACACAAGGUGGAGAAGCCGUUCUCCUGUGAGCAAUGCGGGAAGAGCUUCGCUUAUAAACAAAGCCUGAACAAUCACACCAAG